GAUGAACGCUGGCGGCGUGCCUAACACAUGCAAGUCGAACGGAGAUUACGGACGGAAGUUUUCGGAUGGAAGCCUGUAAUUCUUAGUGGCGGACGGGUGAGUAACGCGUGGGCAACCUGCCCUAUACAGGGGGAUAGCAGCUGGAAACGGCUGGUAAGACCGCAUAAGUCGGUUAAAUCGCAUGAUUUGAUCGGGAAAUGAGCAAUCAGGUAUAGGAUGGGCCCGCGUCCGAUUAGCCAGUUGGCAGGGUAAAAGCCUACCAAAGCGACGAUCGGUAGCCGGACUGAGAGGUCGGACGGCCACAUUGGGACUGAGACACGGCCCAAACUCCUACGGGAGGCAACAGUGGGGGAUAUUGCACAAUGGAGGAAACUCUGAUGCAGCGACGCCGCGUGAGUGAAGAAGUAUUUCGGUAUGUAAAGCUCUAUCAGCAGGGAAGAUGAUGACGGUACCUGACUAAGAAGCCCCGGCUAACUACGUG
rnacentral:rRNA from 1 species